GUUUUUGGUCAAUCUCAGAAGUUUAUUGACUCAUUGAAGAUGGAAAAAGAAUACCCAAUGGAUGAGAUGUUGAAUGAAGCUGUAACUUUGGCCUCAUGUUCUUAUGAGGAAAACACUGAAUGGGGAAAAAAGAUUGGGUUCUCGUAUGACUGUUUGCUGGAGAGCACCUUCACUGGGUAUCUGCUGCAAUGCAAAGGAUGGACUUCUGCUUAUCUAUACCCAAAGCGACCAUGCUUCCUCGGUUGCAGCCCCGUUGACAUGAAAGACGCCAUGGUUCAGAU
rnacentral:misc_RNA from 1 species